AGUACUGUACUAGUGGACUGGCAGGGAAGAACUGUACUGGUGGACUGGCAGGGAAGAACUGUACUGGUGGACUGGCAGGGAAGUACUGUACUGGUGGACUGGCAGGGAAGAACUGUACUGGU